UACAGAGGGUGCAAGCGUUAAUCGGAAUUACUGGGCGUAAAGCGUGCGUAGGCGGUAGCGUAAGUCGGGUGUGAAAGCCCCGGGCUCAACCUGGGAAUGGCAUUCGAGACUGCUCUGCUAGGGUGCGGAAGAGGGGAGCGGAAUUUCCGGUGUAGCGGUGAAAUGCGUAGAUAUCGGAAGGAACACCAGUGGCGAAAGCGGCUCCCUGGUCCAGCACCGACGUUCAGGCACGAAAGCGUGGGGAGCAAACAGG
rnacentral:rRNA from 1 species